CCAGAACUCUGACCCGUCAUUCACCUGUUAGCUCAUCCAGGAGACCCAGAGCUUCCAGGGAACUCUACUUCCUUAGAACAGAGGUAGUAGGUAAAUGCAAAGGGCAAGUGCUGGAACAAAAAAUUUGAAGACAGCAGUUUUAUUUACCUCCUAGGAAAAUGACUUUUCGUUUGAUGAUAACCAUUUGUUAUGGACCAUGAAGAAGAGUAAAAGGAGAUGAAACUGAAGGUUGAUUUCAAAGAACUGAACAAAACUGAAGCUGUUAAUGUACGCUAUGCUUUUCCCAAAAUCUUGGCUGUGAAUGCAAUGGAAAUAAAAGAGUAGACGUGAGAAGAGGGUGUAAAUAUGAGUGGGAUGCAUCUUAAAACAUAGGAGAAGAUGUAGAAAAUGAGAAGAGAGUAAGCAGAACUGCUAAUG
rnacentral:lncRNA from 1 species